rnacentral:rRNA from 1 species
GACGUAGGGCGCGAGCGUUGUCCGGAUUUAUUGGGCGUAAAGAGCUCGUAGGCGGCUUGUCGCGUCGACUGUGAAAACCCGCGGCUCAACUGUGCGGUUGCAGCGAUACGGGCAGGCUAGAGUUCGGUAGGGGAGACUGGAAUUCCUGGUGUAGCGGUGAAAUGCGCAGAUAUCGGGAGGAACACCAAUGGCGAAGGCAGCACUCUGGGCCGGUACUGACGCUGAGGAGCGAAAGCGUGGGGAGCGAACAGG